CAAACCUCAUGUGGAAAUUUGAUCCCCAGUGUUGGAGGUGGAGCCUAAUGGGAAGUGUUUGGGUCAUGGGAGCAGAUUCCUCAUGAAUAGAUUAGUGCACUGGGGGAGGUGGGAGCAGAGGAGGUGAGUGAGUUCUCUCUUAGCUCCUAAGAAAGCUGGUUGUUAAAAAGAGCCUGGCACCUCCCUGCAACCCCCACUUCUCUCCCCAUGUAAUCUCUGCACAUGCCAGCUCUCCACCUUCCACCAUGAGCAGAAGGAACUCACCAGAAGCAAAUGCCCAAUCUUGAACUUUCCAGCUGUCAGAAUCAUGAGCCAGACUGGGCACGGUGGCUCAGGCCUGUAAGCCCAACACUCUGGGAGGCUGAAACAGGAGGAUCACUUGAGGCCAGGAGAAAGUCAGCCUGGGCAACAAAGCAAGACCUCAUCUCUAAAAACAAAUUUUAAAAAUUUGUUAAAAACUCGUGAGCUGGCCGGGUGCGGUGGCUCAUGCCUGUAAUCCCAGCAUUUUGGGAGGCCGAGGCGGGCAGAUUACCUGAGGUCAGGAGUUCGAGACCAGCCUGUACAACAUUGUAAAACCCUGUCUCUACUAAAAAUACAAAAAUUAGCCAGGCGUGGUGGCCCACGCAUGUAAUCCUAGCUACUCAGGAGGCUGAGCCCAGGAGAUGGAGGUUGCAGUAAGCCAAGAUUGUACCACUGCACUCCAGCCUAGCCAACAGAGCAAGACUCUGAAAAGAAAAAAAAAAAAAAAUUCAUGAGCCAAGUAAACCUUUUUUUCUUUAUAAAUUACCCAGCCUCAGGUAUUCCUUAUAGCAACACAAAACAGACUAAGACACCAUCCCCAAUAAGCCACUGAUCUUUCUUUCUGUCGCUAUAGAUUAAUUUGCAUCUCCCAGAGCUUUAUAUAAGGAGAAUCAUACGCUACAUAUUACGCUAUGUAUGUAUACAUUGCUAGGCUAGAAAAAUAAAGUUUGUUCUACCAGGAAUCACAAGUUAGAACUGAGUAUUCUCCAAAGUGGAAAUUACAGAGUGUAAGGUCAUUCCAGGCAAAGAUUAUUCAUUCAGUCCUCAUACCCAACAUUCACAACUCCCUAUCAGAAGGGUUAAACCAGGUCAAAACAGUCCGGCAUAAUUAGGCUUCAUCAAACAAUGCCAUUAUGUUCUUCUAAGAUGCAAAUAAACCAAAACAGGAAAUACUAAAAUCAAAAUAAUACUUGAUGCUGUCAUACAAAUUGUUAGUUCCUUGCUGUAUUCCCCCUUCUAUAACAUUAAUAAAGGGAAUAUCUUACUGCAAAGAAUAUUUUAUUUUAUACAUCACUAGCCAUGAAUUUUUGCCAUUAGUUAUUAUACAAAUGCUGCCUAAUGCCAUUAGCCAAAUGGCAUAACCAUUUUAUGUCCACCAUUCACUUCUAUAGUUAUAAGUAGAAUUUUCAUGAUUUACAUAUGUACAUCUAUCAGUGAGGAUUUAACACUGAGAUACAAUCUAACAUCUGUAAUAUCUGAUGUUUUAAAGUAGAUAGCAAUGUAGGAAAGAUAUAUUUUAAUCACUUUUCAUUUAAGUGACCUUAUGUAAAACAUUAACCAAUAGUUUAGCAGUUCCACGUCUCCAAGGGACAUUUUCAAAUGUAUGUAAAGAAAUGGUUACAGAUUUUUAAGAAGCAUCUUCCAUGUCCACAUCCUGUUGUAAUCUCUGUGCCAUUUUCUCUUCCAGCUGCUUCCCUUUGCCUACAAGAGGGGCUCGGAAAGAUGGAUGUUUUUCUUGACUUCUUUGAUAUCCUGAACUUCUCUACGUAGCCCUUUAUGUUUCUUCAGUCUGUUCAUUAUAAAUUUAGCUUGGCAUUUCUGUUUGAUCUCUUCAACUCUCUUCAUUGCAUCAAUAGUUUUAUUCCAUAGCUCUCACUGAUAUUUGAUAAGUGCAUUUCUAUGUUUUUCCAAUUCAAAUGAAUUAUCCACUGUAAGCCCUUUACCAGCUGUUUUCCAGAAUGCUUUGGUCCACCUACCUUUGUGAGGAUUGUGCUUCUUUUUAAAGUUUUUAUGACAUUUAGAUUUACAAAAUCUGAACACCUUGCAAUCAUUGCGGACAGACAUCAUGCCAUGGCCAGGGUAGAUGGGCCCCGAACAGAAAUAACACUCUUGAGACACAUGUUGAACCCACGUGGGUCCCCACCGACCAAACGCCAGGCUUGAGAGGAAGUCAGGUGUAUGUUUAACCUAAACUGCCACACUCUUUUCUAAGGUGGUGUAUCAUUUUAUGUUACCAUCAGCAGUAUACAAGAGUGCCAGUUCCUUUACAUCCUAAUAACACUUGGUAUGGUUAAUAUUUUUAAUUUUAGCCAUUCUUACAGGUAUAUAACAUCUUGUGAUUUUAAUUUCUAUUUCCCUAAUGACAUGUUGCACAUCUUUUCAUGUGCUUAUUUGUUAUUGUUGGUGACAAAUGUAUCUUCUUUGGUGAAGUAGAUGUUCAAAUUUAUGUUCAUUUGUAUUGGGUUUGGAGUUAUUGUCAAGUUUUGAGAGUUAUUUAUGUAUUCUGCAGACAAGUCCUUUAUCGGUAAAUGCUUUGCAAAGAUUUUCUUAGUCUGUGUAUGGCUUGUGUUUUCAUUGAAAACUAUGUCUUUUGAAGAGCACA
rnacentral:lncRNA from 10 species